GACGAACGCUGGCGGCGUGCUUAACACAUGCAAGUCGAACGGAAAGGCCUCUUUCGGGGGGUACUCGAGUGGCGAACGGGUGAGUAACACGUGAGUAACCUGCCCUUGACUUUGGGAUAACUUCAGGAAACUGGGGCUAAUACCGGAUAGGAGCUCCUGCUGCAUGGUGGGGGUUGGAAAGUUUCGGCGGUUGGGGAUGGACUCGCGGCUUAUCAGCUUAUUGGUGGGGUAGUGGCUUACCAAGGCUUUGACGGGUAGCCGGCCUGAGAGGGUGACCGGCCACAUUGGGACUGAGAUACGGCCCAGACUCCUACGGGAGGCAGCAGUGGGGAAUAUUGCACAAUGGGUGGAAGCCUGAUGCAGCAACGCCGUGUGCGGGAUGACGGCCUUCGGGUUGUAAACCGCUUUCGCUCAUGACGAAGCUUUGUGUGACGGUAGUGGGUAAAGAAGCACCGGCUAACUACGUG
rnacentral:rRNA from 1 species